UCGGAUAUGGUGUUACGGUAACAUUUCUGACUCUCAAGAUCUUAAGAUCGAGCACUCAGGGGAUCCGGGUUCGAUUCCCCGUAUCCGAG